GGGGGUGAAAAGGUUUCGACGGGAAUAUAGACCAGUGGUUGCAUACCGAGAAUGUCGGGAAUCUCGUUAAAUUUCCGGCAAAAACAUAAACGCUAACACUUUGGUAGCGUAAUCCCCCCCUUCUUGCUUUCGUCCCCCUUGUGGGGACUUUCGCAAGAAAGCAGGGGGGCACGUCCUGCCGGUUUCGCCUGCAGGGUCGGCAAGGGCGUAAGAUAUGCAGGAUAGUCCUGCGUUUUUUGCCUGAGAAGGCAGGAUGAAAACUAAUCAGGCUGGUCCCGCUUUUAUCCCGCAUACAGGAAUGGGCGGGACAAGAUUAAAUGUAUGAUAAGUAUGUAGUAACUUCUGGGGAGAUAUUUUCGGACGCGGGUUCGAUUCCCGCCACCUCCAUUU
rnacentral:tmRNA from 3 species